GGGCUUGUACUGGUUUCGACAGGGAUCUCGAAGAUGGAGAAGCUAUCCGUAGGCUGAUGCGUUAAAUCGCAAACUUAAAAUUAAACGCUAACGAUAAUUUCGAAUUAGCUGCAGCCUAAAUGCUGCAUGUCAGCCCUGAAGCACUCACACUUUAGGAAUCUGGCACCGACUAUGUGAGAAACGAUGACGGCAAAGCUUUGAGCUGUCAGGCGUAUUAUGAAGCUACUGAACCCGUAAGGAUGUUAGUUUUCGUACGGCAGAGGGAAUGUUAAAUAACUGACUAUGAUAGUAGAAGUACAUGGGACAGGUUUUUGGACGCGGGUUCGAUUCCCGCCAGGUCCACCA
rnacentral:tmRNA from 1 species